rnacentral:rRNA from 1 species
GACGAACUCUGGCGGCGUGCUUAACACAUGCAAGUCGAACGGUAAGGCUCCAGCUUGCUGGGGUACACGAGUGGCGAACGGGUGAGUAACACGUGGGUGACCUGCCCUGCACUUCGGGAUAAGCCUGGGAAACUGGGUCUAAUACCGGAUAGGACUGCACCGUGAGGGUGUGGUGGAAAGUUUUUUCGGUGUGGGAUGGGCCCGCGGCCUAUCAGCUUGUUGGUGGGGUAAUGGCCUACCAAGGCGGCGACGGGUAGCCGGCCUGAGAGGGUGGACGGCCACAUUGGGACUGAGACACGGCCCAGACUCCUACGGGAGGCAGCAGUGGGGAAUAUUGCACAAUGGGCGGAAGCCUGAUGCAGCGACGCCGCGUGGGGGAUGACGGCCUUCGGGUUGUAAACUCCUUUCACCAUCGACGAAGGGUUUCUGACGGUAGAUGGAGAAGAAGCACCGGCUAACUACGUGCCAGCAGCCGCGGUAAUACGUAGGGUGCGAGCGUUGUCCGGAAUUACUGGGCGUAAAGAGCUCGUAGGUGGUUUGUCGCGUCGUCUGUGAAAUUCCGGGGCUUAACUCCGGGCGUGCAGGCGAUACGGGCAUAACUUGAGUACUGUAGGGGAGACUGGAAUUCCUGGUGUAGCGGUGAAAUGCGCAGAUAUCAGGAGGAACACCGGUGGCGAAGGCGGGUCUCUGGGCAGUAACUGACGCUGAGGAGCGAAAGCAUGGGGAGCGAACAGGAUUAGAUACCCUGGUAGUCCAUGCCGUAAACGGUGGGCGCUAGGUGUGGGUUUCCUUCCACGGGAUCCGUGCCGUAGCUAACGCAUUAAGCGCCCCGCCUGGGGAGUACGGCCGCAAGGCUAAAACUCAAAGGAAUUGACGGGGGCCCGCACAAGCGGCGGAGCAUGUGGAUUAAUUCGAUGCAACGCGAAGAACCUUACCUGGGCUUGACAUAUACAGGAUCGCGCCAGAGAUGGUGUUUCCCUUGUGGCUUGUAUACAGGUGGUGCAUGGUUGUCGUCAGCUCGUGUCGUGAGAUGUUGGGUUAAGUCCCGCAACGAGCGCAACCCUUGUCUUAUGUUGCCAGCACGUUGUGGUGGGGACUCGUAAGAAACUGCCGGGGUUAACUCGGAGGAAGGUGGGGAUGACGUCAAAUCAUCAUGCCCCUUAUGUCCAGGGCUUCACACAUGCUACAAUGGUCGGUACAGUGGGUUGCCAGUCCGUGAGGGCGAGCUAAUCCCGCAAAGCCGGUCUCAGUUCGGAUCGGGGUCUGCAACUCGACCCCGUGAAGUCGGAGUCGCUAGUAAUCGCAGAUCAGCAACGCUGCGGUGAAUACGUUCCCGGGCCU